AGGCGAACGGGGCGGCUCCCGGGCGGCGGCAGCGCCGCGCUCCGUCGCGCGGUGGGAGCCGUCGCGCUGCGAUCCGGUGCCGUCGCUCUUCGUUUGGACGUGGCGGGGAAGCCGGCGUCUCGCUCGCUCUCGCUGAGCGUCGUUUUCAUGGCGGUGGUCCUUGGAGAUGGCGGCGGGGAAGCGCGGGGCUCCGUCCGGAUGGCGAGUUUGGCUUUUGGCCUCGCUCGGUGGAGUUUUGCUUUCGGCCCGGAGUGCGCCGGCAGGAGGCUGCGGAUGGCGGGGCCUGAUGGUGUGUGAAUGAGGGCUCCCCGCUGGAAUUUGUGCCGAGCAAAGCUGGACGAGGAGUGGAUCCACGCGCCUGGUGCUCUGUUUGAGUGGGGGAGGAGGAGGCACGGCUGAAGACCGUUGAGGAGCAGAGUGUGAGUGGCUGCGACCUUGCGUUGGGCCUCAGGAGAACAGUGUGUGACUGUGUCUCGAGCAUCGUGCGUGGCCGUUGCCAGGUAGGUGUGCCUUCCUUUGCAGUAAGCAGUGCUUAGGCGUGAGCCCAGCUCAUCCCCCUGUCCUGAGCAGAUGGGCUUUCUGCGUGCUUUAUUGCUGUGCUUGGUGCCGUCCGGCACAGCAGCAGCAAGGCCGUGAACACGUACGUAGCCAGGUAGAUGCAAAUGUGCAAGUGAUGGUAUGAAUACUCUUGUUGUUAGUGUUCAUGAGACAGUGGUCAUGCGUGUGUGAUCAAGCUCAGGGAGAAGUUGAUUCUUGCGUGUUCAGCUGUUGCUGAAAUGCAAGUUUGGCGUCCCUGCUUGUGGUUGGGUCGGAAGACCAAAGAUAUGUUCAGAGCACGUCUGUGAGUCAGGCUGGGAGGUUUUGCUAGCAGGAAGUCACAGCGUCGGAGCGCAGGAAUGGAAUGAUGGCUCUCAU